rnacentral:rRNA from 1 species
AUUGAACGCUGGCGGCAUGCCUUACACAUGCAAGUCGAACGGCAGCACGGGAGCAAUCCUGGUGGCGAGUGGCGACCGGGUGAGUGAAGUAUCGGAACGUGCCCAGUCGUGGGGGAUAACGUAGCGAAAGUUACGCUAAUACCGCAUACGAUCUAUGGAUGAAAGCGGGGGAUCGCAAGACCUCGCGCGAUUGGAGCGGCCGAUAUCAGAUUAGGUAGUUGGUGGGGUAAAGGCUCACCAAGCCGACCAUCUGUAGCUGGUCUGAGAGGACGACCAGCCACACUGGGACUGAGAAACGGCCCAGACUCCUACGGGAGGCAGCAGUGGGGAAUUUUGGACAAUGGGCGAAAGCCUGAUCCAGCCAUGCCGCGUGCAGGAUGAAGGCCUUCGGGUUGUAAACUGCUUUUGUACGGAACGAAAAGGUUUGGCCUAAUAAGCUGAGCUCAUGACGGUACCGUAAGAAUAAGCACCGGCUAACUACGUGCCAGCCGCCGCCGUAA